rnacentral:rRNA from 1 species
CAGCAGCCGCGGUAAUACGAAGGGUGCAAGCGUUACUCGGAAUUACUGGGCGUAAAGCGCACGUAGGCGGACAUUUAAGUCAGGGGUGAAAUCCCGGGGCUCAACCCCGGAACUGCCUUUGAUACUGGGUGUCUUGAGUGUGGAAGAGGUCAGUGGAAUUGCGAGUGUAGAGGUGAAAUUCGUAGAUAUUCGCAGGAACACCAGUGGCGAAGGCGGCUGACUGGUCCACAACUGACGCUGAGGUGCGAAAGCGUGGGGAGCAAACAGGAUUAGAUACCCCCGUAGUCCCUGUCUCUUAUAC